rnacentral:rRNA from 1 species
UUUGAAAAUAAAAAUACAGAGUCGGGCCUGCCCGGUGUGUUAAUAAACGGUUGCAACGAGAGUUGUACUAAGGUAGCAUAAUAAUUUGUCUUUUGAAUGGAGAAUGGAAUGAAUGGUUUAACGUAGAAUUUCUUUUUUUAUAUAAAAAGUUGAAGUUUCCUUUUAAGUUAAAAGGCUUAAGUUUUUAAAAAAGACGAGAAGACCCUGUCGAAUUUGAUUAAGUUAGUUGAAGUUAAGUGACAAAAGUUUUAUUGGGGCAAUAUUAACUUUAGAAACAGUUAAAGUGUUUAAAGAUCCUUUAGGAAAGAAACUGGAAAAAAUUACCGCAGGGAUAACAGCGUUAUUUUCUCUGAGAGAUCUUAUUGAGGAGAGAGUUUGCGACCUCGAUGUUGGAUUAUAAAAACUUUGUGGUGUAGCAGCUACAUAAGUUAAACUGUUCGUUUUUUAAU